GACGAACGCUGGCGGCGUGCUUAACACAUGCAAGUCGAACGGAAAGGCCCUGCUUUUGUGGGGUGCUCGAGUGGCGAACGGGCGAGUAACACGUGAGUAACCUGCCCUUGACUUUGGGAUAACUUCAGGAAACUGGGGCUAAUACCGGAUAGGAGCUCCUGCUGCAUGGUGGGGGCUGGAAAGUUUCGGCGGUUGGGGAUGGACUCGCGGCUUAUCAGCUUGUUGGUGGGGUAGUGGCUUACCAAGGCUUUGACGGGUAGCCGGCCUGAGAGGGUGACCGGCCACAUUGGGACUGAGAUACGGCCCAGACUCCUACGGGAGGCAGCAGUGGGGAAUAUUGCACAAUGGGCGGAAGCCUAAUGCAGCAACGCCGCGUGCGGGAUAACGGCCUUCGGGUUGUAAACCGCUUUCGCCUGUGACGAAGCGUGAGUGACGGUAAUGGGUAAAGAAGCACCGGCUAACUACGUG
rnacentral:rRNA from 1 species